ACAUUUAAUGAUUUUAUAUAUUCGACAUUUGCUCUAUUAACAGUUAAAAUGUGUUGAUUUUAUUACUUUAAAUUACUCACUUUUUUCCUGGUCGAUACUGAUAAGUAGACAAAUCUGAUGACUUUAGUUUCCUGCUAAAACCUGGAGGAGAGAAUUCACCUCCAAACUUUAGGUUUUCACUUUUCACUUUUUUUAUUUCCAGACCACAAAGUCCAGUGACUGUUGUCCCGGGCGUCAGCGCUCUGUUGAACCACCUGCUGAGUCAGAUCCACGAAGGAAACUUUGGAAAAGCUGCUCUGUUCGUGGCCCGGCAGGCUCUGAGCUGCCUCCUCAGUCUGGACGGCUCGGCCCAGCUCCUGUCUCUGGUCACCGUGGACAAGGUCACGUCCAUCCUCAGGAAGUUUCCCACAGACCUGUCGGCCCUGCUGGUGGGAGACCUGUACUACACCCACCUGUCGCUCAGCGGCGUUUCAGAGCAUCUGUCCCACAGUGCACUGCAGGAGCUGUACCACAUCCUGCAGCCCAAUCUUUCCUCCAA